rnacentral:rRNA from 1 species
CCUACGGGUGGCAGCAGUGGGGAAUAUUGCACAAUGGGGGAAACCCUGAUGCAGCGACGCCGCGUGAGCGAUGAAGUAUUUCGGUAUGUAAAGCUCUAUCAGCAGGGAAGAAAAUGACGGUACCUGACUAAGAAGCCCCGGCUAACUACGUGCCAGCAGCCGCGGUAAUACGUAGGGGGCAAGCGUUAUCCGGAUUUACUGGGUGUAAAGGGAGCGUAGACGGCGGUGCAAGCCUGAGGUGAAAGCCCGGGGCUCAACCCCGGGACUGCAUUGGAAACUGUGUGGCGGGAGUGUAGGAGAGGCGGGCGGAAGUCUUGGUGGAGGGGUGAAGUGCGGAGAUAUUAGGAGGAA